GAUGAACGCUGGCGGCGUGCCUAAUACAUGCAAGUCGAGCGAACAGACGAGGAGCUUGCUCCUCUGACGUUAGCGGCGGACGGGUGAGUAACACGUGGAUAACCUACCUAUCAGACUGGGAUAACUUCGGGAAACCGGAGCUAAUACCGGAUAAUAUAUUGAACCGCAUGGUUCAAUAGUGAAAGACGGUUUUGCUGUCACUUAUAGAUGGAUCCGCGCCGCAUUAGCUAGUUGGUAAGGUAACGGCUUACCAAGGCGACGAUGCGUAGCCGACCCGAGAGGGUGAUCGGCCACACUGGAACGGAGACACGGUCCAGACUCCUACGGGAGGCAGCAGUAGGGAAUCUUCCGCAAUGGGCGAAAGCCUGACGGAGCAACGCCGCGUGAGUGAUUAAGGUCUUCGGAUCGUAAAACUCUGUUAUUAGGGAAGAACAAAUGUGUAAGUAACUAUGCACGUCUUGACGGUACCUAAUCAGAAAGCCACGGCUAACUACGUG
rnacentral:rRNA from 1 species